GACGAACGCUGGCGGCGUGCCUAAUACAUGCAAGUCGAACGAGCUCUCCCAAAUUGAUUUUAUGCUUGCAUAAAUGAUUUUUGGAUUCGGAGCGAGUGGCGAACUGGUGAGUAACACGUGGGUAACCUGCCCCGAAGCGGGGGAUAACAUUUGGAAACAAGUGCUAAUACCGCAUAAUUAGUUGGAACCGCAUGGUUCCAACUUGAAAGAUGGCUCUGCUAUCACUUUGGGAUGGACCCGCGCCGUAUUAGUUAGUUGGUGAGAUAAAAGCCCACCAAGACGACGAUACGUAGCCGACCUGAGAGGGUAAUCGGCCACAUUGGGACUGAGACACGGCCCAGACUCCUACGGGAGGCAGCAGUAGGGAAUCUUCCACAAUGGACGAAAGUCUGAUGGAGCAACGCCGCGUGAGUGAUGAAGGUUUUCGGAUCGUAAAACUCUGUUGUUAAAGAAGAACAAGUGUUAGAGUAACUGUUAACACUUUGACGGUAUUUAACCAGAAAGCCACGGCUAACUACGUGCCAGCAGCCGCGGUAAUACGUAGGUGGCAAGCGUUGUCCGGAUUUAUUGGGCGUAAAGCGAGCGCAGGCGGUUUUGUAAGUCUGCUGUGAAAGCCCUCAGCUCAACUGAGGAAGUGCAGUGGAAACUACAAAACUUGAGUACAGAAGAGGAAAGUGGAACUCCAUGUGUAGCGGUGAAAUGCGUAGAUAUAUGGAAGAACACCAGUGGCGAAGGCGGCUUUCUGGUCUGUUACUGACGCUGAGGCUCGAAAGCAUGGGUAGCGAACAGGAUUAGAUACCCUGGUAGUCCAUGCCGUAAACGAUGAAUACUAGGUGUUGGAGGGUUUCCGCCCUUCAGUGCCGCAGCUAACGCAUUAAGUAUUCCGCCUGGGGAGUACGACCGCAAGGUUGAAACUCAAAGGAAUUGACGGGGGCCCGCACAAGUGGUGGAGCAUGUGGUUUAAUUCGAUGCUACGCGAAGAACCUUACCAGCUCUUGACAUCUUCUGCCAACCCAAGAGAUUGGGCGUUCCCUUCGGGGACAAAAUGACAGGUGGUGCAUGGUUGUC
rnacentral:rRNA from 1 species